rnacentral:rRNA from 1 species
UAGGGAAUCUUCCACAAUGGACGGAAAGUCUGAUGGAGCAACGCCGCGUGAGUGAAGAAGGGUUUCGGCUCGUAAAACUCUGUUGUUAAAGAAGAACAUAUCUGAGAGUAACUGUUCAGGUAUUGACGGUAUUUAACCAGAAAGCCGCGGCUAACUACGUGCCAG